rnacentral:rRNA from 1 species
UACGGAGGGGGCUAGCGUUGUUCGGAAUUACUGGGCGUAAAGCGUGUGUAGGCGGUUUGGUAAGUCGGCUGUGAAAGCCCCGGGCUCAACCCGGGAAGUGCACUCGAUACUGCCAAGCUAGAGUAUCGGAGAGGUUGGUGGAAUUCUCGGUGUAGAGGUGAAAUUCGUAGAUAUCGAGAGGAACACCGGUGGCGAAGGCGGCCAACUGGACGAAUACUGACGCUGAGACUCGAAAGCGGGGGGAGCAAACAGG